UCAAGGAUCCAUCACACUGUUUGCGCUUCUUUAAAUCUCCGACCAACACGCUAUAGUAUCAAGCUGUAUGGAAAACGUUAUGGACCGACUGGAGGUUUGAAUGUGAAAAGUGGAUUUUUUCUCAUGACGUCCAUAUUUAAAGUUUUGAAUCUAUCCAAGACAUACGGAUAACUUGGGGGUUAACAUGGUUAAAAUGGCGAAGAAGAAUAACAAAUUUCUGCUACCUUGACGUUGACGAGAAACUGCAGGACCUGACCAUGUUGACAGCAAUAUUUGUCAACAUGCAGAGGAGUUUUUUUGGACCCCAAUACAUUAAAAGACAAGUGUCCUGAUCCAGAUAUUAAUGGUAUUAAAUGCAGUUUUUCCAAGAAAGCAAAACAAUGGAGCAGAACUGAAGUGUUAUUUCAAUAGAACCAUGAUCUGAUUGAUCAAGUGAAAGAUGAUACCAGUUGUGAACGUUGUCGAAACACUACAGCAAGCAAAGAGAGUAGUAAUCAUCAAUACAUGUAUUACUCCUGUUAAUAUU